rnacentral:lncRNA from 1 species
CGCACCUUUCAUCCCGUGUCAAUACACAUUGCUUCUGUAAAUAGUGUGGCAAUCCAGAUUAUUCAUAAAGAAGGGACAGUGAUGAAGAUAGUACCAAUUACUAGUGCACCCUCCAAGACCUUGUCACUAUGAAGCAUUUGUUGACGUGCACAAGCAUCACAAGCAUUAGCCUUAUGAUUUUCUGAGAAGGUUGGCUGGCCGGA